GAUCCGGUGGUGAAGUAGUUAACACAGCGGUCUGCAAAACCGCCAUGCGCGGGUGCAAAUCUCGCCCGGAUCU
rnacentral:tRNA from 1 species